CCCGCCUGCCCUGUGACCAUGUGUUUAACGGCCGCGGUAUUUUGACCGUGCGAAGGUAGCGCAAUCACUUGUCUUUUAAAUGAAGACCUGUAUGAAUGGCAUAACGAGGGCUAAGCUGUCUCCUUUUUCCAGUCAAUGAAAUUGAUCUGCCCGUGCAGAAGCGGGCAUGAAAACAUUAGACGAGAAGACCCUAUGGAGCUUCAGACACAAGGACAGCCUAUGUUAAAAAACCUUAAUUAAAAGACUAAACCAAACAGCCCCUGUCCUCCUGUCUUUGGUUGGGGCGACCGCGGGGCAACAACUAACCCCCAUGUGGAACAAGGACAACUCCUUUAAAACCAGGGCCACAGCCCUAAUAAGCAGAACAUCUGACCAACAAGAUCCGGCACUGCCGAUCAACGGACCGAGUUACCCUAGGGAUAACAGCGCAAUCCUCUUUUAGAGCCCAUAUCGACAAGGGGGUUUACGACCUCGAUGUUGGAUCAGGACAUCCUAAUGGUGCAGCCGCUAUUAAGGGUUCGUUUGUUCAACGAUUAAUAGUCCUACGUGAUCUG
rnacentral:rRNA from 1 species